rnacentral:rRNA from 1 species
CUACGGGUGGCUGCAGUGAGGAAUAUUGGUCAAUGGGGGCAACCCUGAACCAGCCAUGCCGCGUGGAGGAAGACGGCCCUAUGGGUUGUAAACUCCUUUUGUAUGGGAAUAAUAAGGGUUACGUGUAAUCCGACGAAGGUACCAUACGAAUAAGCAUCGGCUAACUCCGUGCCAGCAGCCGCGGUAAUACGGAGGAUGCAGGCGUUAUCCGGAUUUAUUAGGUUUAAAGGGUGCGCAGGCGGCCCGGUAAGUCAGUGGUGAAAGUUUGCAGCUCAACUGUAAAAUUGCCAUUGAUACUGUCGGGCUUGAAUGUGGUAGAGGUAGGCGGAAUGUGUAGUGUAGCGGUGAAAUGCUUAGAUAUUACACAGAACACCGAUUGCGAAGGCAGCUUACUAUGCCAUGAUUGACGCUGAGGCACGAAAGCGUGGGGAGCGAACAGGAUUAGAUACCCUUGUAGUC